ACUGACUCAAUGGACAUGAGUUUGAGUGAACUCCGGGAGUUGGUGAUGGACAGGGAGGCCUGGCGUGCUGCGAUUCAUGGGGUCGCAAAGAGUCAGACACGACUGAGCAACUGAACUCAACUGAUGAAAGGCCCCAACUUCAUAGUACAAACCCUGAAAAACCCAUAGAACAAUUUAGAUGAAACUGAAGGAUGGUGCCUUGGGAUCUUCCAGCUCCAGAGCUCAGUGCUGAGUGGGGAUGGUGGACUUGAGCAUCUGUGGAUGUUGGUAUCUGCAGGGUGUCCUGCAACCUAUGCCCUACUUUGGAUAUCAAGGGACCAGGGUAUUUUCUUCCACCUUAAAGUAACUUUCUAGCUCCCAGGGGAGGAAAGAGGAGACGAUGAAAAACCCACGAGCAGCAGGUGUGCUGGUUCUCCUGCUCCGGCUCAAGGGGACAGCUUGUCAUCGGUCCUGCCUAGUAUCCUGGCAAGGAAACAAGAGUUGCAUCAUCUGGGGAACUUUUCAAGGCCAAUCUCAACUCACUUUUGGAAAUGUUCGCUUUUCUUUUUUACCUCAAGUGCCUAGAAUUAUUUGACCAAACUCUGUGAUUGAUGGCAUAGUACCAGCAUUGGGAGGAAAUAGUUUUAUACCAUUUUUAAAAACUGGCAAAAUGAACACCCAGUCAUACCUCAUUAUCUUUUGGAUUCCAACCUGCCACCCUCAGUCAACAUGCCCUACAUUUUUCUUGACAUGAAGGACGGUGUGGAGAACAUUUCCCAGCUCUCCAGAACUAAAUCAGAAAAGGGCACAGUGCUGACUUAACUAUUUUGUAAGCUAGUUAUAGUAAGACAACUUUGAUUUUUUUAAAAUAUAUUGUGCCCCCUUUAAAAGUCUGUUUCUUCACCAAAACACAGCAAGGAGGCUGAGGAGGAGGAGGAGAAAACCCAAUCACUUUCUUCUUCCAUAAUCAUCUUGACAAUGUUCUGAGAGGCGAAGAAACCAAAAGGAAAGAUUUGGGGAGCUCCAUAAAAGCACACAUACAGAGAAGUUGGGGACAGUCUUUAAACUCUGGCCACCCUUGGUGCAGACAUGUGGUAUGGGAUUUUGUCUCCUGAGAACUCCCACAGCUGCUGGGGGUGGGGCUAGGGGUGGUUCCAGUGGAGUAUGUGAGAGUGAAGGCUGAAGGCUAAGAUGCUAUAAACAAGUCCAGUGGCUUUGGGCAAGGUUUAUUUCCUGGGUAAUGGUCCACAGCAGUGGGAUAGUUCUGCUCCAUGUGGCCGCCUGGGUCUCAGAUGUUUUCCAUUUUGUCACCCAGCUGUCCCCAGAUCACUGUCACUGUGUGUGCUGUUGAAGCAAGAAAUGGUGAAGUGUCCUGUUGCCAUGUAGGACUCUCAGCUGGCAAGAAGGAGAAAGAGCUACAGGCAAUGUAUUAAGACCCCCCCCACCCCCAUACUUGGAAAUGCCACACAUCAAUUUUGCUCAUAUUUCAUUGGUAAGACCUUGGUCACAUGGCCAUGUCUGAUUGCAGGCAAGACUUGGAAAGAUAGCCUAGCUGGCUACCAUGUAUACAUGGAUUGAUUACUCCAUUACCGUGUAAGCGCUAAGGAGAAAGAGACAAUGGAUUUUGGUGCUUGCAGGCAGCUCUAGGGAGUGGGACCUCAGUGAAAGUAAUUGCUGGGACAACCCAGGGUCAUCAGUAUUGACUGACUGUGCAGAUGAUGAAAAAGCAUGUUGGACAUACGUAAAUUAGUCCAAGCUGCACAAUUGGUCAAAAUAGCCCCUACAAAACAGAAUCAAGGAAGGAAAAAGGAGAGAACUUAAAUUCUAACCAGGAUUCUUUUUGAGAGAAAAAAUAUGGAAAAGAGAGAACAAGAGAUUUGGGUUAAGAAGCUAGCUUGAGAGACUUCUGUUUCUAGAGUUUGAGCCUCAAGUAAAUAUUGAUAGUAAAGGAUUAUAAUCCAUUCAAUAAAAUAAGAAAUCAUGGGUCCACACAGAUACAAGUAAACUAAUACAAGUUUGGGGACUCCCUGGUGAUCCAGUUAAGAAUCCGCCUUGCAAUGUAGGGAACUAGGGUUCAACCACAUGCCACAGGGCAGCUAAGCCAAGCCCUGAAACCAGAGAAGGCUGUGCCACAACAGUGGUCCUGCGUGCCACAACUAAGACCUAACACAGCCAAAUACUUUUUUUUUUUUAAGUUUUUUAAGUUUGACAAGGUACAGGGUAAUUACACAGUUGCAAAGUACAUCCCAGGGCUUCCCAGGUGACACAGUGGUAAAUAAUCUGCCUACCAAUGCAGGAGACGCAGGUUCUAGCUUUGGGUCAGGAAGAACCCCUGGAGGAGGAAAUGGCAACACACUCCAGUAUUUCUUGCCUGGAAAAUCCCAUGGAGAGGGGAACCUGGCAGGUAACAGUCCAUGGGGUCACAGAUUCAGACACUACUGAGCAUGCACACACACAAAGCACAUCCCUCAAAGUACUAAUUACAAAGGGUAACUUUUCUGGCCGAGCCACCUUCAUCAAGUGAUCAAAGUGAACUUCACCAGUAUGGGUCAAAUCUAAAUCGUGUGCAGCUUGAGAAGAUGCAAGGAGAAAAGAGCAUCUGGCCAGAUUUCUGCCGAAGGUCACAGCCUGAAUUUAAUUACGAAGAAAUGGCAGACGAGCACUAGCUGAGAGACACCCUUCAAAAUCAUCGUCCUGUCAUUUUCAAAAUUGUCAAAGUCAUGUAAGUCAAGAAAAGCAACCACCACAGACAUGAAAGCCGAACACGGCACGUGAUUCUGUACUAGACCGUUCCUUUAUCCAGAACUUCUUUAGGACAAUUGGUGGAACUUGAAAAAAAAAAUUUGAGGAUUAGAUGGUAAUGAUGGGUUAAUGUCAGUUUCCUGAUUUUGAUGUUUGUCUUGUGGUUUUGUAGGAGAAUCUCCUUGUUUGCCAGAAACAAGACUCCAAAGUAUUUACAGGUGAUGAGGCUUCCUGUUGGCCACUUGCUCUCAAAUGACUGAGGAGAACAAUUUAUUUGUAUAGUACCUGCAACUUUCCUGAAAAGUUUGAAAUUAUUUUUUAAAAAACCCAACCAAUUUUUAAAAUACCAUUUAUGUAGCAUCAUAUACUUAGAAAUUUAGCCAGAUAAUAAAACUUCUAUAAAGGAAAAACUAACCAAGGCAAAAAUAAACUUUGUGCUAUUUAGGAAUACCUACAUUAUAGGGUAAGGCUAAAAAAAAAAAACCCAAAGAAACAGUACACACCAAAUUCAGGAUGGUGGUAACCCUGCGGGUGUGGGAGAAGGUGAUGUCACAGGGAGGACCCACACAGCAACAUGAGGGUGUAAGUGAUAUUCCACUUUUUCAAAUAAAGAUGUUUGUUAUUGUGCUUUAUAAUUCA